rnacentral:rRNA from 1 species
GGCUAACUCUGUGCCAGCAGCCGCGGUAAUACAGAGGGUGCAAGCGUUAAUCGGAAUUACUGGGCGUAAAGCGCGCGUAGGUGGUUUGGUAAGUUAGGAUGUGAAAUGCCCCUGGGCUCAACCUGGGAACUGCAUCCAAAACUGGCCAGCUAGAGUAUGGUAGAGGGUGGUGGAAUUUCCUGUGUAGCGGUGAAAUGCGUAGAUAUUACU